rnacentral:rRNA from 1 species
AUUGAACGCUGGCGGCAGGCCUAACACAUGCAAGUCGAGCGGAUGAAGGGAGCUUGCUCCUGGAGUCAGCGGCGGACGGGUGAGUAAUGCCUAGGAGUCUGCCUGGUAGUGGGGGGUAACGUCCGGAAACGGGCGCUAAUACUGCAUACGUCCUGCUGGAGAAGGUGGGGGAUCUUCGGACCGCACGCUAGCAGAUGAGCGUAGGUCGGAUUAGCUAGUUGGUGGGGUAAGGGCCUACCAAGGCGACGAUCCGUAACUGGCCGGUGUGAAGGAUCAGUCACACGAGAACGGGGACACGGUCCAGACUCCUACGGGACGCCGCAGUGGGGAAUGUUGGACAAUGGGCGAAAGCCUUAUCCAGCCAUGCCGCGUGUGUGAAGAAGGUCUUCCGAUUGUAAAGCACUUUAAGUUGGGAGAAAGGGCAGUAAGUUGAUACCUUGCUGUUUUGACGUUACCGACAGAAUAAGCACCGGCUAACUUCGUG